AUGUUUGGCACUAAAUAUUUGAAUGAUGAGCAUGAUUGGAAUGUUGUUAGUAUGAAUUCCUUGAAUAUCCAUGAUGCUAAUGAUAUGCAAAGCCACAAGCUUGGGGAAGCUAUGUUUGAUGAAGAUGAUAUUUUUUGUCCCCCAAUAUUUGAUGAGAAAAUUUAUUAUGAUGAAAGCAUGCCUCCUAUUUAUGAUGAUUAUAUUGAUGAAAGUGGAUUUGGAGAGGUCAUGACUUUAUUUUGUGAUGAAUCCACUAUUUUGGAAGAGGUUCCAAUUGAAUAUGAGAACAAAGUUGCUAUCUAUGAUGAUUAUUGUGAUGACUUGUAUGCUAUAAAGAAUAAUAAUAUUCAUGAAACUUGUCAUCAUGAUUUUAGUUUUCAAUUGGAUUAUGCCUCACAUGAUAGUUAUUUUGUUGAGUUUGAUCCCACUACUAUUCAUGAGAAGAAGUUUGCUUAUGUGGAGAGUAGUAAAUUUUCUAUGCUUGUAGAUCAUGAAAAGAAUGCUUUAGAUGCUGGUUAUAUUGUUGAAUUCAUUCAUGAUGCUACUUAA
rnacentral:rRNA from 1 species